rnacentral:rRNA from 1 species
GAUGAACGCUGGCGGCGUGCCUAAUACAUGCAAGUCGAGCGAACGGACGAGAAGCUUGCUUCUCUGAUGUUAGCGGCGGACGGGUGAGUAACACGUGGAUAACCUACCUAUAAGACUGGGAUAACUUCGGGAAACCGGAGCUAAUACCGGAUAAUAUUUUGAACCGCAUGGUUCAAAAGUGAAAGACGGUCUUGCUGUCACUUAUAGAUGGAUCCGCGCUGCAUUAGCUAGUUGGUAAGGUAACGGCUUACCAAGGCAAGGAUGCAUAGCAGACCUGAGAGGGACAUCGGCCACCCUGGAACUGAGACACGGUCCAGACUCCUACGGGAGGACGCAGUAGGGAAUCUUCCGCAAUGGGCGAAAGCCUGACGGAGCAACGCCGCGUGAGUGAUGAAGGUCUUCGGAUCGUAAAACUCUGUUAUUAGGGAAGAACAUAUGUGUAAGUAACUGUGCACAUCUUGACGGUACCUAAUCAGAAAGCCACGGCUAACUACGUG